rnacentral:tRNA from 2 species
UCGCCAAGCGGUAAGGCAACGGGUUUUGAUCCCGUCAUCCCAUGGUUCGAAUCCAUGUAGACCUGCCA